rnacentral:rRNA from 1 species
AUUAGUUUACUAUUGGAGCGGUUAGUGGCGGACUGGUGAGUAACACGUAAGCAACCUGCCUAUCAGAGGGGAACAACAGUUAGAAAUGACUGCUAAUACCGCAUAUGCCUAAGUACCACAUGGUACAAUAGGGAAAGGAGUAAUCCGCUGAUAGAUGGGCUUGCGUCUGAUUAGAUAGUUGGUGGGGUAAUGGCCUACCAAGUCGACGAUCAGUAGCCGGACUGAGAGGUUGAACGGCCACAUUGGGACUGAGAUACGGCCCAGACUCC